CUACGGGACGCUCCAGUGAGGAAUAUUGCACAAUGGGGGGAACCCUGAUGCAGCAACGCCGCGUGGAGGAUGACGCAUUUCGGUGUGUAAACUCCUUUUAUAUAGGAAGAUAAUGACGGUACUAUAUGAAUAAGCACCGGCUAACUCCGUGCCAGCAGCCGCGGUAAUACGGAGGGUGCAAGCGUUACUCGGAAUCACUGGGCGUAAAGGACGCGUAGGCGGGUUGGAAAGUCAGGUGUGAAAUCCUACAGCUUAACUGUAGAACUGCACUUGAAACUUCUAAUCUAGAGUAUGGGAGGGGAGAUGGAAUUAGUGGUGUAGGGGUAAAAUCCGUAGAUAUCACUAGGAAUACCUAAAGCGAAGGCGAUCUCCUGGAACAUUACUGACGCUAAGGCGUGAAAGCGUGGGGAGCAAACAGGAUUAGAUACCCCCGUAGUC
rnacentral:rRNA from 1 species